AAUCAACAAUAUCAAUUCCAAAAUUUCGGCAGAAAUUGAAGCCGAUAUCAAAUCAAUUGAAAUUUCAGAAGAGUUCCUUCAACACCAGCUACACAGCUCAAUCAAACGACCGAAUUGUAAGUAACGAGAUUUAGCAUCCUAUUUUAGAUUUUUCCUUGAAUUUAUUUUGGUUAAUUCAUUUGUUGAAUGUAUGCUAUAAUUAAUCAGUUACAGGUUUCUUCAUCUACAAUGGAUUUUGGAGUUGUGCCAGAUGGGAG
rnacentral:lncRNA from 1 species